rnacentral:rRNA from 1 species
AGAUACCUACGGGGGGAAGCAGUGGGGGAUAUUGCACAAUGGGGGAAACCCUGAUGCAGCGACGCCGCGUGGGUGAAGAAGCGCCUCGGCGCGUAAAGCCCUGUCAGCAGGGAAGAAAAUGACGGUACCUGAAGAAGAAGCCCCGGCUAACUACGUGCCAGCAGCCGCGGUAAUACGUAGGGGGCAAGCGUUAUCCGGAUUUACUGGGUGUAAAGGGGGCGCAGACGGCGAUGCAAGCCAGGAGUGAAAGACCG